rnacentral:rRNA from 1 species
UACGUAGGGUGCGAGCGUUGUCCGGAAUCAUUGGGCGUAAAGAGCUCGUAGGCGGCUCAGUAAGUCGGGUGUGAAACCCUCAGGCUCAACCUGGGGACGCCACUCGAUACUGCUGUGGCUAGAGUCCAGUAGGGGAGUGUGGAAUUCCCGGUGUAGCGGUGAAAUGCGCAGAUAUCGGGAGGAACACCAGCGGCGAAGGCGGCACUCUGGGCUGGAACUGACGCUGAGGAGCGAAAGCGUGGGGAGCGAACAGG